UGGCGAACGGGUGAGUAACACGUGGGUGAUCUGCCCUGCACUCUGGGAUAAGCCUGGGAAACUGGGUCUAAUACCGGAUAGGACCAUGCUUUAGUGUGUGUGGUGGAAAGUUUUUUCGGUGUAGGAUGAGCCCGCGGCCUAUCAGCUUGUUGGUGGGGUAAUGGCCUACCAAGGCGGCGACGGGUAGCCGGCCUGAGAGGGUGACCGGCCACAUUGGGACUGAGAUACGGCCCAG
rnacentral:rRNA from 1 species